AUGCUUUGCAGGAAGCAGGGGUGCCUAGAGAGGGCUGCUCUGCUAACUGGCCUGUGGCUCUCCUGCACUGUCUGCAUUCACCAUCCUCCAUCAGCUGGUGCCGGCCUGUCUGUCCCAGUUCUUCACAGGCCACGUGCCACUCCAAGCUCACCAGACUACUGGGGGUUCCACAGACACAAGGAAAGGUGAUCACAUUUAAUAUAUAAGAUGAACAACUGGCUUCACCAUGAAAAGAAGUUUACAUCACUAUCUCCUCUGUAUUUCCCUUCGUGACUUUAAGAAACACUGAACAAGUCUGCACCUUAGUAAGAAGACUAGAAAAUCUGGAGAAAGUGCUAGCUCCUUCUGCUCAUGUGUGGCUGCCCGAAGUACCACAGUGAACACAUGACACUCAAAUACACUGUGAUUUCCUGCACCUGACUCAAAUAUAUUAUAUGAAUGUGUAAUAUACAAUAUUAUAUAAGUCUAUUACAUCAUAUUUUGUUGCUCGUUGAAAUGCUUAUCUUUCCCUACAUGUGCUGAUUACCUUGUAAGUAAUUUGGAAGUUUAGUUUUUAAAGAAUAUGUCCUUGAAAUUUAGGUUGUGACUUACAAUCUAUGUAAUGUGUAUAUCAGGAACUAUAUGCAUAAGCAACAGACAUGGAUUGUGGCAGAGUUCUGGAGGCUAGAAGUGCAAGAUCGAGGUAUGGCAGGUUGGUUCUGAAGGCUUGGGAGAGAACCUGUUGCAGGCCUCUCCUCUCUCUUCUGGUGGUUUGCUGGAAAUUUGCAGCAUU
rnacentral:lncRNA from 12 species